UGCCUCUCCUAAGGCUGUCCACGUGUCCAUUUAAUAAAUAAUGUGGGGCCUACUUAUUGUUCGGUUUACUUUGUCCGACUGGUUUGGGUUUGGUCUGAUUUCUGUCUUCAGUGUUUGGUCUGAUAAAUUAGUCAAACUCUGCGUAAGCGUCGCCGGAUUAGGGCUUCCAUGUUACUUUCUCUUCCAUAACUCAACCUUGCCGUCUUGGCUUUGCAGAGUCUCAUCUCUUCGCCUCCACUUAUGUAUUAAUUCUGCCAUAAUAGUUAAUCCCAUUGGAUCCAGAUUCCAUGUCGACGUCUCCCUUUCCUCAGUCUCAAAUCUAUAAAUAUGAGAUGCUGUUGUUUCGCACUCCGCGUUUGAGGCUCUCCGCGUCGAAUGAUCUGGCCAGUUCAUUGUUGUCAGUUUACUCUGUCUUUGGGACUCGAAAAACAUAAAGAAGCAUGGUGAAUUCAUGGGAAUCACUCUACUCCUUCUUGAUGAGAAGAAUUUGGUGAUACAUGGAUUCAUCCUGCUGGUCCCGCUCCUGACUACCGUCCCUCUUUUCGAGGGGGUUCAGUCGUGACCUUAACUGGAGAAAGGAAGGAGCUGUCGUACCAGUCAAAAAUCAGGGACACAUAUGUGGAAGUUAUUGGGCACUCACGGUGGUUGGAGCGGUGGACGGUAUAAACAAGAUCAAGACCGGAGAAUUGAUAUAUUUUUGGGAACGAGAAUUCAUAGACUGCUACAGAGAGGACGGCAGCGGUGUAUGUGAUGGAGUUUCACAUCUUGAGCUCGAGAGUCUGCAAACCUGACUCAUCACAUCUCACUGCCUACGGUGGUCCUCUUGAAACAUUAAUCUCUGCAUUUACAUCUUCAGCACCACUCCUCCCACUAUCUCGAAUUAACUCGGCCGUAUCAUCCUCCAAUGUAACCGAUUGAAGCUCCAUCUAUAAAUGGCUUCGUUGCUUGGGAUUAAGAGUCACAUCGAAAUGAAAUCCCAAAGAUCUCUCUCUCUCUAUCAAGCAGCAAAUCCAUUAAUGGCGAAUUCGUUUACUCUGCUUGGUGAGGUCAGUUCUAUCAAGAGCACAAAAUGAUAGGACACACUGAACACAACAUGUUAUGCUGUGUCUAGAAAGGGAUGUGAAUUUGAGUAUCAGUCUGUUGGCUUAGCUUUUUCGCAUUUCAUAACAAACUCGAAAUCUACGGCUCUGAGCCAAAACUUUUCUUGGUCAAUAGCAUCAGUCCCUAAGUUUCUGGAGGCUGCCUAUUUCUCAACGGGACAUCUGGAACCCACAUAUACUUUGACUUAAAAUAAAAUAAAACAAUAAUAAAUAUUUUUCAUAUUUCUCGGUCGCAGUUGUUUCUCUUUUUUUUUUUUUAUAUAUAACUCUAGCUUUGUUCCCUCUUAUCUCCAGAAUCUGAAGAAACAACACCAGAGCCAGUCAUCAUCUCUAAUCAAGAGCCAAGAUUGCCAAAUACCUCUGGUCUAGAGUCAUGAAUACCACUGGACAUUCUCACAUCAACUCUCCAUAUGCUGCAACCAUAUUCACUAACAAGGGAAAAAAACAUAUUUCAUCACAGUUUUUCUACAGAAUCUUGUGUUUAAGAUAUUUGGGAAUGAGUUUAGAUAAAUGUACAAGCUUAAGCCUGAUAACUGAGGAGUAUGUCCUACCACCAUCGCCUUGGCACCAACAGCUUCAAAAGAGUCUCAGAGAAUUUUACUUACCUGAUUAGAAAAAUACUCAUAAAAGAUAGUCAAUCCAAGCUGAUGGUUGUAUAAUAUUUUCAGGAUUGUGGUGACUCCAAUUUAAAUUCAUGUUCAAUUUGAUAGUCAUCCAGAUCAGAGGUCUCUCUUGAGUAAACUCUGCUCCAAACCACACUGUCAAAUUGUAAGUGUGGAUUGAUGACAUGGAGAUGGGAUGAUGGAUGAUGUGAAAGUUGGCUCAAAGAAGAGUGCAAGUUGGCUCACGAGAAGAGCAUGAAGGAUCCACUAUUUAAAGGAGUCCCUAAGCAAGAAUAAUUUAUAAGAGCUGUCUAGAGUUUAGAUCAAUCAAGUGUUAAAGGGUGAGGUGAGAGUACUCCAUCAUAAACCUCUCAAGGUUCUUGAGUGCUUGUAAACACAGUUCUAUUUCUAAUAUAGUUAUUAUUUCAUCUUUACAUUUGCCUUGUGACUCUGUUUUGAUCUGAGGAAAUACAUUACACUUAACACAUAUCCCUGAGUUGAAAUGAAUGGCAUCUCAAAACUGUCUUCAUUGUCACUAGAGCUCUUCAUGCAAGUAGAGACUUCUCUGUUUAUACUCACUACGCCAUAUGCAACUGUACAAGUACAUCAUAAAGAAAAGAGUUCAGAUCCAAAAGAAAAGGAUAUCUGGACGCUAGACUGGUUAUGUUUAACCUGGUGAGGAAGGAGACCACCGUAUAUAUAUGUUAAUGGCCAAGUUUGAUUUCUUUAUGCAUAUUACUGUAAAAUUCACCUAAAUCCCUUUAAAACUAGAACACCCUAAAAGCUUCUAAAAUCAUUUUAGUUUCAAAUAUGUAAACAAAAAAAAAACAUUAGUCUCAAAUAACACAACACCCAUUAAACACCAUAAAAUAAACUAUUCUGCUACAACAACAAAAAUCAUACACCACCCGAAACACAUAAAAUAAUCACACGUCAAUAGCCAACCUCAAACCUAAAAA